CAGUAGCCGCGGGAAUACGGAGGAUCCAAGCGUUAUCCGGAAUCAUUGGGUUUAAAGGGUCCGUAGGCGGUCUUGUAAGUCAGUGGUGAAAGCCCAUCGCUCAACGGUGGAACGGCCAUUGAUACUGCAGUACUUGAAUUAUUGGGAAGUAACUAGAAUAUGUAGUGUAGCGGUGAAAUGCUUAGAGAUUACAUGGAAUACCAAUUGCGAAGGCAGGUUACUACCAAUUGAUUGACGCUGAUGGACGAAAGCGUGGGUAGCGAACAGGAUUAGAUACCCCCGUAGUCCCUGUCUCUUAUAC
rnacentral:rRNA from 1 species